ACAGAGACUGCAAGCGUUAUUCGGAUUCACUGGGCGUAAAGGGUGCGCAGGCGGCCACGUGUGUUAGAUGUGAAAUCCCGGGGCUCAACCCCGGAACUGCGUCUAAAACUACUAGGCUAGAGCAUUGGAGAGGGUAGCGGAAUUCACGGUGUAGCAGUGAAAUGCGUAGAUAUCGUGAGGAACACCAGAGGCGAAGGCGGCUACCUGGACAAUUGCUGACGCUCAGGCACGAAAGCGUGGGGAGCAAAAGGGAUUAGAUACCCCUGUAGUCCACGACCUAAACGGUGCACACUAGGUCUUGGCGGAUUCGACCCCACCAGGGCCCAAGCUAACGCGUUAAGUGUGCCGCCUGAGGACUACGGCCGCAAGGCUA
rnacentral:rRNA from 1 species